rnacentral:rRNA from 1 species
CUACGGGACGCUCCAGUGAGGAAUAUUGGUCAAUGGGCGAGAGCCUGAACCAGCCAAGUAGCGUGAAGGAUGACUGCCCUAUGGGUUGUAAACUUCUUUUAUAAAGGAAUAAAGUGCUCCACGUGUGGAGUUUUGUAUGUACUUUAUGAAUAAGGAUCGGCUAACUCCGUGCCAGCAGCCGCGGUAAUACGGAGGAUCCGAGCGUUAUCCGGAUUUAUUGGGUUUAAAGGGAGCGUAGAUGGAUGUUUAAGUCAGUUGUGAAAGUUUGAGGCUCAACCUUAAAAUUGCAGUUGAUACUGGAUGUCUUGAGUACAGAUGAGGUAGGCGGAAUUCGUGGUGUAGCGGUGAAAUGCUUAGAUAUCACGAAGAACUCCGAUUGCGAAGGCAGCUUACUAAACUGUAACUGACAUUGAGGCUCGAAAGUGUGGGUAUCAAACAGGAUUAGAUACCCGCGUAGUC